rnacentral:rRNA from 1 species
CCCUUAGAUGUUCGGGGCCGCACGCGCGCUACAAUGAGUCGAUCAACGAGCGUUCUUUUUUCCAAGUCCGAAAGGUCGAGGUAAUCCGUUGAACCCGACUCGUGCUAGGGAUAGGGAAUUGUAAUUGUUUCCCUUGAACGAGGAAUUCCCAGUAAGCGCAAGUCAUCAGCUUGCGUUGAUUACGUCCCUGCCCUUUGUACACACCGCCCGUCGCUCCUACCGAUUGAAUGCUCAGGUGAGCCAUUCGGACUUUCAUCAUGCUGGUUUCCAGUUUUGAUGAAGGAAAGUCUUGCGAACCUUAUCAUUUAGAGGAAGGAGAAGUCGUAACA